rnacentral:rRNA from 1 species
CCUACGGGUGGCAGCAGUGAGGAAUAUUGGUCAAUGGCCGGAAGCCUGAACCAGCCAAGCCGCGUGAGGGAGGACGGCCCAGUGCGUCGCAGACCUCUUUUGCCGGGGGACAAACGGCCGCACGCGUCCCGUUCCGAGUGUACCCGGAGAAAAAGCAUCGGCUAACUCCGUGCCAGCAGCCGCGGUAAUACGGAGGAUGCGAGCGUUAUCCGGAUUCAUUGGGUUUAAAGGGUGCGCAGGCGGGCGUUUAAGCCGGCGGUGAAAUGGCGGGGCUCAACCUCGCCGAGCCGUCGGAACUGGGGGCCUUGAGUGCGGGGGAGGCAUGCGGAAUGCGCGGUGUAGCGGUGAAAUGCAUAGAUAUCGCGCAGAACCCCGAUUGCGAAGGCAGCGUGCCGUGGCGCAACUGACGCUGAGGCACGAAAGCGCGGGGAUCGAACAGGAUUAGAUACCCUAGUAGUC